AUUGAACGCUGGCGGCAGGCUUAACACAUGCAAGUCGAGCGGAGAGAGGUAGCUUGCUACUGAUCUUAGCGGCGGACGGGUGAGUAAUGCUUAGGAAUCUGCCUAUUAGUGGGGGACAACAUUUCGAAAGGAAUGCUAAUACCGCAUACGUCCUACGGGAGAAAGCAGGGGAUCUUCGGACCUUGCGCUAAUAGAUGAGCCUAAGUCGGAUUAGCUAGUUGGUGGGGUAAAGGCCUACCAAGGCGACGAUCUGUAGCGGGUCUGAGAGGAUGAUCCGCCACACUGGGACUGAGACACGGCCCAGACUCCUACGGGAGGCAGCAGUGGGGAAUUUUGGACAAUGGGGGAACCCUGAUCUAGCCACGCCGCGUGUGUGAAGAAGGCCUUAUGGUUGUAAAGCACUUUAAGCGAGGAGGAGGCUCUUUUGGUUAAUACCCAAGAUGAGUGGACGUUGCUCGCAGAAUAAGCACCGGCUAACUCUGUGCCAGCCGCCGCGGUAA
rnacentral:rRNA from 1 species